rnacentral:rRNA from 1 species
AUUGAACGCUGGCGGCAUGCCUUACACAUGCAAGUCGAACGGUAACAGAUCUUCGGAUGCUGACGAGUGGCGAACGGGUGAGUAAUACAUCGGAACGUGCCCGAUCGUGGGGGAUAACGAAGCGAAAGCUUUGCUAAUACCGCAUACGAUCUACGGAUGAAAGCAGGGGACCGCAAGGCCUUGCGCGAACGGAGCGGCCGAUGGCAGAUUAGGUAGUUGGUGGGAUAAAAGCUUACCAAGCCGACGAUCUGUAGCUGGUCUGAGAGGACGACCAGCCACACGGGGACUGAGACACGGCCCAGACUCCUACGGGAGUCAGCAGUGGGGAAUUUUGGACAAUGGGCGAAAGCCUGGUCCAGCAAUGCCGCGUGCAGGAUGAAGGCCUGCGGUUUGUAAACUGCUUUUGUACGGAACGAAAAGACUCUGGUUAAUACCUGGGGUCCAUGACGGUACCGUAAGAAUAAGCACCGGCUAACUACGUGCCAGCAGCCGCCGUAA